rnacentral:lncRNA from 7 species
CUUCCACAGGCUUAUUUGGGUCACUGUGGCUGGGUCCAUUUCAUCUCCUGGAGUCUCAGUUCUCCUUCUAUGAAUUGGAAACAAUCACUAUUGGCUUCACUGUGAAAAAUGGACUCGUGAGUGGGGAUGCUGAACGCAGCAGACACCUUAGAAAGGCAUGAAAAUAUUACCAAAGCCCAGGAGACUCAAGCUUCAGAAUAAGGAACCAGUCUUUCAGCCUUGGAGGUGACGUGAGUUUGAGUCUGGGACACGAGACAGAGCCAGAAUAAAAAGGGAGGAGAGGAAAAAAGAGGGAAAGAGAAGUCAUUACUUACCUGUGCUGAAGGAGACUACACUGCAAUAUACGCCAAGCCCAAGGACAGUGAAAUGGCACAGUGCAGGUGUCAUUGCAAAUGGCUGUAGAAAGUAUAAUCUUUUGUGAAGAACUCCAUGGCCUCCAUUUGUCAGUUGCCAAACUUACCUGCAAUGCAGCAGAGGGAGAGCUCCCUUCCGAACAAACACGAGACCAGGAGAAGCUGACAUACAUUACUAACAACAUAUGGAAAAGUUCGUACCUUUCUGAGCAGGCAGAUUUACAAGGAGCAAUACAAGAGCCCUGUGCUGUAGCCACAGACCACCUGCUGACUGGACAUCUCAGAUGCUGUCCAACAGUUUACUUUUACAGCCUGCACUGCGAAAGCUGACAUCAACAUCGCUUAGUAAGGUGGGGAAAAUGCAAGAGACAGCAUAUUCUGUUCCCGGCUGGCUGUACAGUUCAUCUCCAGAUCCCAGGUUCCUCCAUUAAAACCUACCCCCUGCCCCAGGGAACAGCCUGGCAAGCUCUUCUGACCCAACAGCACUGGCAGCUGUUUGGCAGCUUCUGAAGUGGAUCCAAUCUGUUUGCAGAGAGAUGUAACUUCUCAUCUUCAACACAACUAGACUUGACGUGAGGAGCAGCAAAAAGGAGAGUUCAGCAGUAUUCAAGACCACGUUGCUUAGUGACAUUCCCAUGCAAUCCAAGAGAUCUCAGAGCAGCUGGCAGAGUCGAUAAUGAACAGUAUUGUAUGAGAGAAACUUGAUGGGUAAAUUGAAGCACGGGCUUACUGGGCUAUGUUCUACCCUCAAGGCUGGUGUCAGAGCUGGGAAGAGACUCCAACUCCUUUCACCCCCGGGGGUAGCGAUAGCCAAAAUUUCUUCAGUGUUUCUUCCGUGGCAUGCCUCCAAGUGGAGUCUUCAUAAUAAAGCUGGACUAAUAUCCCAAAAUAAGUGCAGAUACCCUCACUGGAGUCUGUAAUUAUUCUCUCUGUUGCCUGGCUGCCCUCUCCCCUGCCUUCCCUCCGGGCCUGGACACCUGUGUUGUACUGUGAUUGCCUCUUCGUUUAUGGCAAACAAGUCUGGAUUCUCCCAUUGUAUAUUUUUAAGGCAUUUUUAACAAAUCUGGUUUCUUUUUUCUC